GCCAGUAGCCAUAUCACCCUGCAACUCACAACUGGCAACCCACUGAAGCUAAGCAGGUGUGAGCCUGGUCAGUACCUUCAUGGGAGACCUCCUGGGAAAAACUAAAGUUGCUGUUGCAA
ensembl:rRNA 5S_rRNA 5S ribosomal RNA